UAGGGAAUCUUCCGCAAUGGACGCAAGUCUGACGGAGCAACGCCGCGUGAGUGAAGAAGGUUUUCGGAUCGUAAAACUCUGUUGUUAGAGAAGAACAAGUGCUAGAGUAACUGUUAGCGCCUUGACGGUAUCUAACCAGAAAGCCACGGCUAACUACGUGCCAGCAGCCGCGGUAAUACGUAGGUGGCAAGCGUUGUCCGGAUUUAUUGGGCGUAAAGCGAGCGCAGGCGGUUCCUUAAGUCUGAUGUGAAAGCCCCCGGCUCAACCGGGGAGGGUCAUUGGAAACUGGGGAACUUGAGUGCAGAAGAGGAGAGUGGAAUUCCAUGUGUAGCGGUGAAAUGCGUAGAUAUAUGGAGGAACACCAGCGGCGAAGGCGACUCUCUGGUCUGUAACUGACGCUGAGGCUCGAAAGCGUGGGUAGCAAACAGGAUUAGAUACCCUGGUAGUCCACGCCGUAAACGAUGAGUGCUAAGUGUUGGAGGGUUUCCGCCCUUCAGUGCUGCAGUUAACGCAUUAAGCACUCCGCCUGGGGAGUACGACCGCAAGGUUG
rnacentral:rRNA from 1 species